GUGGGGAAUAUUGGACAAUGGGCGCAAGCCUGAUCCAGCAAUGCCGCGUGUGUGAAGAAGGCCUUCGGGUUGUAAAGCACUUUCAGUAGGGAAGAAAGACCCAUGGUUAAUAACCAUGGGAGGUGACAUUACCUACAGAAGAAGCACCGGCUAACUCCGUGCCAGCAGCCGCGGUAAUACGGAGGGUGCGAGCGUUAAUCGGAAUUACUGGGCGUAAAGAGCACGUAGGUGGACAAUUAAGUCGGUUGUGAAAGCCCUGGGCUCAACCUGGGAACUGCAUCCGAUACUGGUUGUCUUGAGUAUGGUAGAGGGAAGUGGAAUUUCCGGUGUAGCGGUGAAAUGCAUAGAUAUCGGAAAGAACACCAGUGGCGAAGGCGACUUCCUGGAUUAAUACUGACACUGAGGUGCGAAAGCGUGGGGAGCAAACAGG
rnacentral:rRNA from 1 species